rnacentral:lncRNA from 1 species
AGGGAGUACUAUUUUAAAGCCAGUUGCUUUCCUUGCAGCAUGACUAUUUCAUUGAACAACGGCAUACUCGUUGCUGAGAUAAUCAUGAAGGAAAAAAAAUCAUAUACUGCAAAUAUGUCUCGCCGGGAGUGUACGCAUACAGUUAGUCUCACAACCCUGAAGACUGUCAAGAGUAACAACAUAGAAAAACAGCUAAACCUAGUCACCUUAUAGUUCCAUGGCAUUCACAAACCAAGUAGGCAUUGUACACAGAUAAUUUCUUCUGCAUCAUCCU